CUUUAAAUGACAUCGCGAAUGAGGCAUAUUUUUCUUAAAACAUUUCUUUAAAUUGUGGUUACGACUUAUGGCUAAUAUCAAAACCUCUAUGAAGAAUAUGAAUGGGAUUUUCACUUCCGGAACACGAUGCUGCGAUAGUGUGACGUCAGGCUGUUUGCGGAAAUUCCGUUAGUGGAAAAGUCACGAGUCCACGCCGUUUAGGCACGACCCAAACAAACGGUAGCCGAUGGUGUUCGGUAAUCUACCACAAUGUCGAGAUGCUGUUCACUGUGCAAAAGCAUGCUCUUUGCAUGGACUUCCGAAGGAUCACAACUUUCAGAACCGGGGACAGUACGAAGCAGGAUUUUCAGAUCGGUUACUCCUCAAAAACGACUCAGUUCCCACUUUAAUGGGAUAUACAGGAUUAAAACCUGAACCAAAUCCCAACACUUCUUCACUCAAGCCCCAUUCCAUGAUGUAGGAUCCCUAACGGACCCGCGGCCCGCCUCAGUGGGCACACAGAGGAAUCCAGGUAACGGUGGGAUGUCUCAGCGUGGGCACGGAAACCAUGUCCAGUUGACACGGUUACGGUGGCAUCUCCCCCAUUCAUCUACACCUGUAAAGGGCCCAGGAUUCAGACCCAGCAAGAGACUCUGUUUGGAAGAGGAAGACUUAUCUGCAGAGUUUCAAUCUGAUCCGCUUGACUGAUCGUAUAACCCUGGGGAUUCUGUUACAGAGGAAUCCGAAAUAUGGUUUGGUCCUACGUACGGUGACCGAAAGUCAGACGCGCUGCUUGUGAACAGGCAAGGCUGGUUACUGCUUGGGGGGCUGGUUACUGCUUGGGGGGGCUGGUUACUGCUUUGGGCACCCCCCAGGCAGGCAGACAUAACUUCCUCCACAGUAAAGUGUCAAAAUGUGGCAACCGCAACUCCCCUUCCCCUUUAAAUACAGAUGCUUGAUUUGCCACAACGUCGGAAACCUCCCCAAUGUGCCCCAUUUCAUUCCCGGUAAAUUUUUAUGAUUGAUUCCCACAGCGUCCUCAAAGUUUGCAUUGAAAAUGAAAAGGUGUUAUCCAUCUGGAAGUGACAAAAGAAAGCAAAAAACUGAAACAUGUGCCAUGACUGCUAAAAGUCUUUAAACAAUAUGUACCCUGUUUUUUUUGCAAAUCUAAACAUUUUAAAUAAAAUAAUUUAUAUAAUUCGA